GGGUCUGCCCUUGGCCUGGGCUCUACGAGAUCACGGAUUUCAACAAAUGCCAACAGCAGCCGGCAUCACAGAGGCCUGGGAGAGCCGGGUCUGUGAGCGUCACUCUGCCUGGCAGCAGUCUAUGCAGGCCAGCGAGGGCCACCACACACCGUGAAACAAAAACUCCAACAGCAGCAGGCUCAUGCUUCCUGCUCACAGGCCGCAAGUCGGCUGAAGCGUCUCUGCUCGCCACUGGGGUCUGCUCACACACUCAUUCCAGGGCUCAGGCUGAAGGCGCAAUCGCCACCCAGGCCUACCCCUCUCAAGGUGCAAGGCAGGGGGACGAAAGGCCAACAAAGCCACACAACGUCGGAAGCCCUCGGUUGGAGGUGAAGCAUCUUAUGCCCGCUCUCAUUCCGCUGGCUGCAGCAGGUCAUGAGGCAAGUCUUUGGGACGAAGAAGUGUACUCGGUCCAGAACACACCUUGACAAGGAUGGGGAGGGAAGGAAAACUGAAAAAUUAAUAUGAUCUGCUUAACAGACGGUGGCCAGGACGUCAUAGCCAUUGAAACUGGAAACAGACUGGACCUUGUAUGGGAGAUGCUGGGUUGUUCACUAAACUGUUCCUCUUUCCCUCCUGGACACAAAACCAGACUACAUGUCCUGGCUUCGUUUGCAGCUAGUGUCUGAGUCUGGCCAGGGAAGGUGGUGGAGACGAUGAGCUCUACUCCCAGGCCCAGACAGUUAAACCUCCUAUACCAUCCUCCGUUCUUUCCUCACCUGCUGGGUAGAUACACAGAAUCUAGCUGAGGACCCUGAAGCCCAAGAUGACAGCAGACACACGAGGGCCACUCAGUCACCUUUUGGAGGACAGUCACCAGGAGACACCCAGGUGGUUCCCAAUGGAGGACCAUGCUCCAGAGCCUGCACAGGUGGACACCAGCAUGCUUCCCCCGGAGCAGGUUUGACUGCUGAAACAGCAACCUGGAUUCACACAGUAAAGCCUCUCCUGACAAUCAGCACAGCAUAUUGCUCUCAGCCCAGUUUUUCUGCUCCUCACCCGCCUGUCCAUAUCAGGGUGCGUGCUACCUGGGAGGGAGCCAGCGUCUCUUUGGGCCAGAAGGUUUCUUAAGAAUAAAAAAGGG
ensembl:lncRNA